AGCGAACGUUUGCGGCGGGCCUAACACAUGCAAGUCGAGCGGGGUUUUCGGACCUAGCGGCGGACGGGUGAGUAAUGCGUAGGAAGCUGCCCGAUAGAGGGGGAUACCAGUUGGAAACGACUGUUAAUACCGCAUAAUGUCUACGGACCAAAGUGUGGGACCUUCGGGCCACAUGCUAUCGGAUGCGCCUACGUGGGAUU
rnacentral:rRNA from 1 species